rnacentral:misc_RNA from 1 species
GAACUGCGAUAAGUAAUGUGAAUUGCAGAAUUCAGUGAAUCAUCGAGUCUUUGAACGCACAUUGCGCCCCCUGGUAUUCCGGGGGGCAUGCCUGUCCGAGCGUCAUUGCUGCCCUUCAAGCCCGGCUUGUGUGUUGGGUCGUCGUCCCCCCGUGGGACGGGCCCGAAAUGCAGUGGCGGCUUCGCGGUUAUCCGAUCAGCCAGAGCGUAUGGGGACUCUCUCUCUUGUCACACGCCCGCGGCGCGGACCGACGCCUGUCGACCUUUAUUCAUCUUCUCUCGGUUGACCUCGGAUCAGGUAGGGAUACCCGCUGAACUUAAGC